rnacentral:lncRNA from 1 species
GGGGCCCUUGCUCCAUCCUACGGCCGACGAGUUCACAUGCCGAGGAAGUCGAGCGAGAAGCGUCGAGUUAGGGGAGAGAAAGGAGUAGCUGCCGCCAUGGAUGAAGCUAAUCAGGCUCCAGCCGUGGAGUCCUUCUACUGCGCUGAGAACCGGUAAUGAUAACUGGACCUUCCUUAUGUCACGUGGCUAGCUUUCCGUAGCGACUCCUUGCACUCGAUUCCGUUCACGGGAUCGCCUAGACAAUUGCCCGCCGUGAGCGCCACCAUGGGUCAGCCCGCCACUGCGGGAGCUCACGCUCUGUCGCUGCUGAUUGACGGGAGGUGGAAGAAGGUAUCCCUGGCCGUUGGAUCGGCAGCAAUGGUCCAUAUUAGAGGUGGAAUGCCGGUUUGGGUUGAUGGAGCCUAGGCCGUCUGAUCCGAAUCGAACGCGUGAGAAUCGAUUUAGAAGUUUUAAAAUCCAGGGCGUUAAUUAUGGAUCCGGCGGCCAAGAUUUCAUGUUGGGUCGAAUUAAUCUGCACCAUAGGUUGGUAAUCCAAUGGCUGUGGCGCCACGAUACCCCUUCGGCAUAGAAAGUUUGUAAAAGAGACCCUUUGCUUUCUUAAAACCAACCACCGUCCUCAUGUGUGUAAAAGUAAUUCAGAUUAGGUCCUGUUAUUUGCAUGCUAGACCCUGGGGUUUAUAAUAAUCGUGUUCGCAGUCCAGAACCAUUAGAAAUAUUUAGAAUUAGAAUAGAAAUUGGUUUUUUAUAGAAAUAAUUUCAAAAACUUGUUUAAUUCAUAUUAAGUCCAUCUUAACUCCAAUUUGACCCGUUCCAGUUGCAAUAAAUUCAUAUUAAUAUUGUUUAUCAUCUGGUAACCCUAGUUUGUUAUGAAACAUAGGUAGGAAUUAUGCACUUAAUUUCUUUUAUAUCCAACACUUAAAUCUUCAGUUACCAUAACUCUGUAGUCAUAACUCUGAUUUUAGCAAUUCUCAAACUCACGAUUUCGAAGCAACACAUAGAUCAUUAUUAUGCAGUUUGUGUUUAUGUUUGGUGUGAUGUUAAUUUUGCCUAUACACUGUUUGUUUGUAUUACUACGACUAGCGUGAGGCCGCGAGUCAUCUGAAGAUCAUCCUGGCACCUGGAAUCUCAAGUCCCAGGCAAGUUGUGCCCUUUAUCACUUCCUUUUUACGCAGUCAUGUUCUUAUUAAUCAUAAUGAUCUGCAUAGGUUAAUUUUGAUGGGACCUAAUAGGUUACCCUAGAUUUUGAUUAUCUUUAUACCUGGUUUCACUACUGGUUUUACUACUAAAUUUUUGGGUAGUGCAUGUUAUUGCUUUAUGUGGUUUUACUACUCAUGAUUACACUUUUUGUUAUCUGUUCAUUAUUUACUGUUCAUGAUAAGAUCAUUGUGUCAAUGGGAACAUGGAGAACCACCCGGGAAAACAGUGCUACCACAAGGGUUUAAUGGGACGCCCUUGGCUGAUUAACUAGGAAAGCUAGUGGAUGACUAUCUUACUCGAAAGGGGCAAGGGCAGUAGGGGAGUGGUCAGUGUAGGGAGGUCCUUGGUUGAUUUUGCUGCGAUGGCGGUCAGGCGAGGGAUUCCUGCACUGGAGCUUCCUAUAAACUGUAGCGGGUUUUCUGAAGCUAGUGGAACUUUGUAAAGGCCUUGUAGUGUUACCCUGCCUCGCCUCAUCGGUAGAGGUGUAUGGGAUUGGCCGUCUCUUGGCAGAUGGGUAACAUGACUUAUGGGUAAAGAUGUGCAACCUCUGCAGAGUGUAAAACUGGUAUACUAGUCGUGCUCACGGUCAUGAGCAGCUCGAAGACUCACAUGAUUAAUUUAUGAAACUAAAUUCAAUUCGUCAUGUGCAUUGCAUUGCAGGUGUUGUUGUUACUUUUGUUCUACUACUUAAUUGGGUUGGUAUUUACUUAUACUUAGUAACUGCUAAUAAAAUUUUGACCAACUUUAAAAGCAAUGCUCAGCUCUAACCAUCCUCUUUGGUAAGCCUUACACUUCACAUGAGCUCGCACCUUUGGUGAGUUCAUGCACAUUAUUCCCCACAACUUGUUGAGCUAUGAACAUAUGUGAGCUCACUCUUGCUGUCUCACACCCCCCCACAGGUCAAGAACAGGUACCACAGGAUGAGGCGCGUGGAGGAUACUGUGACGAGUUCGUGAGAGGUCUAGGACGUCGUCUCCCUAUCAACUUUGAGUUCCUGGACCGUUGUCUUCUUAUAAUGUAUUUAUUUAUUUAUUUUGUAUAUAACUACUGUUAUUUAGUAAAGAUGUG